AAACAUCCGAAAUCUGAUUUUCGACAAAUAUGUGUUAUUUGCACCAAGUCCCCCUAAACCCCUAUCACAUUUGAUUAGUUUUACCGGUUGUGGUCACGUUUUUUUAAUUGUUUGUUUUUUUUUUUGUUUUCUUGAUAUCGCUAUUUUGAUUUUUGUAAUAUACGUGCCAUACGUGCAACAAUUGAUUCUUCCGCACAAUGUCCAAAGUUUCUGAUAAGCUCUUCAAAGUAUUCGUUUAUGGGACUCUUAAACGGGGCGAACCCAAUCAUCAUUGGUUAACACGACAGGAAAAUGGAUUUGCACGUUUUGUUGCCCAAGGAACGACCGACGAAAAAUAUCCACUUGUAGUUGGUACUCGGUAUAACAUUCCAUUUCUAUUAGACAAGCCUGGAACGGGACACAAUAUUCAUGGUGAAAUCUAUGAAGUUGAUGAGAAAAUGUUUGCCAAUCUUGAUGUAUUGGAAGAUUAUCCAAAGUACUAUGACCGUGAAAUACAAAAGAUAACAACAAUGUCUAAAGAAUCUGUCACCUGUUGGCUUUAUUUGAUUCGCAGUUUUCCAGCUAAAUUACUGGAAAAGCCCUAUCUAACGGCCUAUCACAAUUCGGAAGAGCAUCCGUAUAGAGAAAGGUCGGCAAGAGAUGUUAAUGUUAAAGCUAUAGACGAUUUAGAUUACUGAUAACAACAAGUGUUCGCUAGCAUGCAUAAUUUACAUUUGGAUGGAGGACAUACAUAGAUAAAAUGACCAUAAUUAUUUGGAUAGUGAAAAAGACGAUAUGUAUCGAGACGAGGAAGCACCCAGUAAGCCAAAGUAAAGAAAUCUUUUUAGUAUCCGAUUAUUUCCCUAAGCUGUUUUUGUGUAAACCCAAAGUUUAAGUGUAAAUAAAAAAUUGUAUAUUCCUGAGUGUACCAAAA